AUUGAACGCUGGCGGCAGGCCUAACACAUGCAAGUCGAGCGAGCGGCGGACGGGUGCGUAAUGUCUGGGAAACUGCCUGAUGGAGGGGGAUAACUACUGGAAACGGUAUCUAAUACCGCAUACCAUCAGAUGUGCCCAGAUGGGAUUAGCUAGUGGGUGGGGUAAUGGCUCACCUAGGCGACGAUCCCUAGCUGGUCUGAGAGGAUGACCAGCCACACUGGAACUGAGACACGGUCCAGACUCCUACGGGAGGCAGCAGUGGGGAAUAUUGCACAAUGGGCGAAAGCCUGAUGCAGCCAUGCCGCGUGUAUGAAGAAGGCCUUCGGGUUGUAAAGUACUUUCAGCGAGGAGGCGGUACCUGCAGAAGAAGCAACGGCUAACUCCGUGCCAGCAGCCGCGGUAAUAC
rnacentral:rRNA from 1 species